CAUAUCCUCUAAGGUGAGCAAAAUGUUAAGCAUAUUCUUCUUGAAGCCACCGCAAAAUUAGAAGUCUUCCUCUCUGCACUUGUCCUUUAGAACUUAGUAUGUUCCAUUGUUCUUUAAUGUGCCUGUGAAUAUCAAGAGGCAUGUACUUAGGUUGCAUCCUUAGUUUAUUCAUGAAAAGCCUUCCAAUCACAAGACUCUUCAACAACUUGCAUUUCCCAUUGGGAGUUCAUC
rnacentral:lncRNA from 1 species